rnacentral:Y_RNA from 1 species
GGCUGGUCCGAAGGUAGUGAGUUAUUUCACUUGAUUGUUCAUAGUCAGUUACAGAUUGAACUCCUUGUCCUACUACUUUCCCCUCUUCUCACUUUCCCCUCUACUGCACUUGACUAGUCUUAC